rnacentral:rRNA from 1 species
GAUGAACGCUGGCGGCGUGCCUAAUACAUGCAAGUCGAGCGAAUUGACAGAGGUGCUUGCACCUCUCGAUUUUAGCGGCGGACGGGUGAGUAACACGUGGGUAACCUACCUAUAAGACUGGGAUAACUUCGGGAAACCGGAGCUAAUACCGGAUAAUAUUUAGCUCCGCAUGAAGCAAUAGUGAAAGACGGUUCUGCUGUCACUUAUAAAUGGAACUGCGGUGUAUUAGCUAGUUGGUGAGGUAACGGCUCACCAAGGCAACGAUACAUAGCCGACCUGAGAGGGUGAUCGGCCACACUGGGACUGAGACACGGCCCAGACUCCUACGGGAGGCAGCAGUAGGGAAUCUUCCGCAAUGGACGAAAGUCUGACGGAGCAACGCCGCGUGAGUGAAGAAGGUUUUCGGAUCGUAAAACUCUGUUGUAAGGGAAGAACAAGUACGUUAGUAACUGAACGUACCUUGACGGUACCUUACCAGAGAGCCACGGCUAACUACGUGCCAGCCGCCGCGGUAAUAC